ensembl:snoRNA SNORA70 Small nucleolar RNA SNORA70
CUGCAGUCAGUUAAGCCAGCUGGGUUCCUUUGCUGAUGGGUGCCCAGUGUGUAGUGCAUGCCAGCAGCAGCCUCCUCAGUAGAGUACUCACUUGUUACUUGUAGGGCCAGCCAAAGGGAACUUGGGAACCCUGC